AGUGAACGCUGGCGGUAGGCCUAACACAUGCAAGUCGAACGGCAGCACAGUAAGAGCUUGCUCUUACGGGUGGCGAGUGGCGGACGGGUGAGGAAUACAUCGGAAUCUACUUUUUCGUGGGGGAUAACGUAGGGAAACUUACGCUACUACCGCAUACGACCUACGGGUGAAAUCAGGAGAUCUUCGCACCUUGCGCGAUUCAAUGAGCCGAUGUCGGAUUAGCUAGUUGGCGGGGUAAAGGCCCACCAAGGCGACGAUCCGUAGCUGGUCUGAGAGGAUGAUCAGCCACACUGGAACUGAGACACGGUCCAGACUCCUACGGGAGGCAGCAGUGGGGAAUAUUGGACAAUGGGCGCAAGCCUGAUGCAGCCAUACCGCGUGGGUGAAGAAGGCCUUCGGGUUGUAAAGCCCUUUUGUUGGGAAAGAAAAGCAGCAGGUUAAUACCCCGCUGUCCUGACGGUACCCAAAGAAUAAGCACCGGCUAACUUCGUG
rnacentral:rRNA from 1 species